AAGUCUCAGCCACCCUCUCCAGUGGAAAGAAAGGCUCUUGGCUCUUUUAAAGGAAGAGCACCCAGCCACUGGUACAGAUAUGUAGACGACACCUGGGUCAAAAUCAAGACACAAGAAGUGGAAUCCUUCACUGCGCACAUUAACGCCGUGGAUAAAAACAUCAAGUUCACCAGGGAAGACACAAAGGAUAACUGUUUGCCUUUCCUGGACUGCUCUGUGCACAUUGAAGAGAAUGGCAACCUCAACAUUGAAGUUUACCGGAAGCCCACACACACGGACCAGUACCUCCUCUUUGACUCCCAUCACCCUCUGGAACACAAACUUGGAGUAAUUAGGACCCUACACCACCGGGCAGAACUUGUUCCCUCUAAGCCUGAAGGGAAAAAGAAGGAACACACACAUGUAAAGGAAGCACUGAAAACAUGUGGUUAUCCUAACUGGGCGUUCAUAAAGUCAGCAAAGAGUCACAGAAAAGAAGAUCAGACACCAGCGAGGGAGGAUAAGAAAGACAGACGCAACAACGUUGUCAUCCCCUAUGUAGCCGGUGUAUCAGAGAAACUCAGGAGAGUUUUCUCCAAGCACGACAUCCCAGUGUACUUCAGACCCAGCAACACACUCAGACACAAACUGGUUCACCCGAAAGACAAAACUCCAAAACACAGACUGAACAACGUGGUGUAUGCUGUACAGUGCAGUGAGGAAUGCCCAGACUUCUACAUUGGAGAGACCAAACAGCCACUUCACAAGCGCAUGGCACAACAUAGAAGAGCCACCUCCACAGGACAAGACUCAGCAGUCCAUCUGCAUCUUAAGGAUAAAGGUCACUCUUUCGAGGAUGCCAAUGUUCACAUAUUGGACAGAGAGGACAGAUGGUUUGAAAGAGGAGUGAAAGAGGCCAUCUAUGUCCACUGUGAGCGACCAUCUUUGAACAGAGGCGGUGGUUUACGACACCAACUGUCUGCCAUCUAUAAUCCAGUUUUGAGUUCCCUCCCCAGACGCCUUAACGCCCACUCACAUCCUGGGCCAUCUGACCUCAGGAAAUCACAUGAUAGGGUGGGGCCAGGUUUCACAAUGAGCUCACCCGAAACCCUGGCUGAUUAG
rnacentral:lncRNA from 1 species